UUUAAACAAACACUAAUAGACUAGCAAAACUCUAUUUCAAGUUCACUUUAUUUAAGACAUGUACUAGUACUAGCAGUAGAAAUUCAAUAUGACUUGUGUAUUUUACUGUUUUUCCAUCAAUAGUAGCAAUACGAAGAAACAUACUUACACGAAGAAACAUGAAGAAACAUACUAAAAAAGUGUUCAACGAUCAGCUCCACCAUAUUUAUAUGUUUGUAGUAGCGAUCGAAACAGUUACCAAGAUGCCAAAACUGUAUUCAUCAAACAUCGAGAUUAAGAUAGCCAAGCUACUAUACGGUUUGACGACUUUCAAGAACCUACGAGUCUUUAUCGCACAAAGCAAGCUUUGAUUACAACAUCUUUACGCAUGCUUGUGAGUUAGAGCUUUUGUAUUUUUGUAUUUAUUCGUUUUUUAUAUAGAUGACCUAAGAAUUGUUUUCAACUUACUAUAUACUGUACACUUGAAUGAAAAAUAUUUAGACUAGUAUUACAAAUUAACCAAAUCAUUCAA